rnacentral:tRNA from 1 species
GGAUGGGUGGCAGAGUGGUCGAUUGCAGUUGACUUGAAAUCAACCGUGGGGGCAACCCCACCGGGGGUUCGAAUCCCUCCCCAUCCGCCA